ACGAAUGGUCUCCUAGGCCUUCAACCCUUAAACCUGUGGAAGUGACAUGUGCUUCGGCCCUCUCUCUUGGGGGGGCCGUCUCUAUGCAGAAUCAAGUCUUGUGUCUGAAUCCAAUAAAGAUUUA
rnacentral:misc_RNA from 1 species